CGGGACGGGUGAGUAACGCGUGGGUAACCUGCCUCAUACAGGGGGAGUAACAGUUAGAAAUGACUGCUAAUACCGCAUAAGCGCACGAGAUCGCAUGAUAAAGUGUGAAAAACUCCGGUGGUAUGAGAUGGACCCGCGUCUGAUUAGCUGGUUGGUGGGGUAACGGCCCACCAAGGCGACGAUCAGUAGCCGACCUGAGAGGGUGACCGGCCACAUUGGGACUGAGACACGGCCCAAACUCCUACGGAAGGCAGCAG
rnacentral:rRNA from 1 species